GAGGGUGUAACCCAGUGGUAGAGUGUGCUUGCCUAGCAUGCAUGGGGUUAUAGGUUUGAUCCCUAGCGCGCUCG
rnacentral:tRNA from 1 species